GAUGAACGCUGGCGGCGUGCUUAACACAUGCAAGUCGAACGAACCUUCGGGUUAGUGGCGGACGGGUGAGUAACGCGUGAGAAUCUGCCCUCAGGAGGGGGAUAACGGUUGGAAACGGCCGCUAAUACCCCAUAUGCCGCGAGGUGAAAUGAAUUUCGCCUGAGGAUGAGCUCGCGUCUGAUUAGCUAGUUGGUGUAGGUAAUGGCUCACCAAGGCAUCGAUCAGUAGCUGGUCUGAGAGGAUGAUCAGCCACACUGGGACUGAGACACGGCCCAGACUCCUACGGGAGGCAGCAGUGGGGAAUCUUGCACAAUGGAGGAAACUCUGAUGCAGCGAUGCCGCGUGAGUGAAGAAGGCCCUUGGGUUGUAAAGCUCUUUCGUCGGGGAAGAAAAUGACUGUACCCGAAUAAGAAGGUCCGGCUAACUUCGUG
rnacentral:rRNA from 1 species